rnacentral:rRNA from 1 species
UACGGAGGGUGCAAGCGUUAAUCGGAAUUACUGGGCGUAAAGCGCACGUAGGCGGCUUGGUAUGUCGGGUGUGAAAUCCCCGGGCUCAACCUGGGAACUGCAUCCGAAACUGCCUUGCUCGAGUAUGGGAGAGGGAAGUGGAAUUUCCGGUGUAGCGGUGAAAUGCGUAGAUAUCGGAAGGAACAUCAGUGGCGAAGGCGACUUCCUGGACCAAUACUGACGCUCAGGUGCGAAAGCGUGGGGAGCAAACAGG